ncrna:Drosophila simulans microRNA dsi-mir-281 precursor
CGAAUAAGUGAAUAAAGAGAGCUGUCCGUCGACAGUCCAGAAAGCAUUUAAUAUCACUGUCAUGGAAUUGCUCUCUUUGUAUAAUAUUCG